rnacentral:rRNA from 1 species
AGGCCUCCUGAAGGAACGUUAAAGACGAUGACGUUGAUAGGCCGGGUGUGUAAGCGCAGCGAUGCGUUGAGCUAACCGGUACUAAUGAACCGUGAGGCUUAACCUUACAACGCCGAAG